CACGUAGGGGGCAAGCGUUGUCCGGAUUUAUUGGGCGUAAAGAGCUCGUAGGUGGUUCGGUAAGUCAGGUGUGAAACCUCCAGGCUCAACCUGGAGACGCCACUUGAUACUGCUGUGACUGGAGUCCGGUAGGGGAGCGUGGAAUUCCUGGUGUAGCGGUGAAAUGCGCAGAUAUCAGGAGGAACACCGGUGGCGAAGGCGGUUCUCUGGGCAUGAUCUGACGCUGAGGAGCGAAAGUGUGGGGAGCGAACAGG
rnacentral:rRNA from 1 species